rnacentral:misc_RNA from 1 species
UCCUGGUUAACCCAGGCAGUCUCACUAGAGUUCCCACCAUUACGUGUUGGCAACUAGUGAUAAGGGUUGCGCUCGUUGCUGGACUUAACCAAACACCUCACGGCACGAGCUGACGACAGCCAUGCAGCACCUGUGUAAAGGCCCCGAAGGGAGACACCAUUUCUGGUGUUGUCCUCUACAUGUCAAGUCUGGGUAAGGUUCUUCGCGUUGCAUCGAAUUAAACCACAUGCUCCACUGCUUGUGCGGGUCCCCGUCAAUUCUUUUGAGUUUCAGCCUUGCGACUGUACUCCCCAGGCGGUAUACUUAUCGCGUUUGCUACGGCACAACUAGGGUUGAUUCCAGUUACACCAAGUAUACAUCGUUUACGGCAAGGACUAC